GCAUGCACUAAAGCAGGGCCCUGAAACCUGCACACAUAAAUGGAAUAUAGCUGUGAUUCAUGAUGUCAAUUACACCUGUGCUUUUCCUGCUUGGCUGUUUAUUGAGCCCAGAUCUCUGCCAAAGGAAGCUAUUUGGUUUUACCCUGAGGUCCGGCCUGCUCUUCCACUCUACUGUGUGUCCUGUGUGCUUCUCCUCAUCAGAUAUGAGCAGAGUUUUUGUUUUUCCAGGCUGUUUGGUUGAACUGGGUCACCUACUUCAUCACUGUCACAUUACACAUCAUCAUGCCUCCUUGAACUUGGACUUUUCUUGGGUUCAUCUGUAUUUUAUUUGACUUCUUAUAUUUGAUUUAUUACAUCUGUUAUCCUAUUGUAAUGUUAUCAAUCAAUAAUUCCUUUGUUGUGUAUUGUAUUUGUAAUAACAGUUACAACUUUCCGUUCAUUUUUAUUUGCCAUUUUUUGGUCUAGAGAGGUGCUAAAGAGAUAAACUUUAAUUACUUCCCUCUCUUCCCUCUCCUGGAAUUUAA